GCCAUCAUAGCUCAGUGGUUAGAGCACUGGUCUCGUAAACCAGGGGUCGUGAGUUCGACUCUCACUGAUAAACCAGGGUU
rnacentral:tRNA from 1 species